UCUCAGGGCGGGGUGCAAUUCCCCACCGGUGGUAAUUUUAAUAAUAAGCCCACGAGCCUUUUUGGCAGAUUUGGUGUAAAUCCAAAGCCGCCGGUAUAGUCUGGACGAAAGAGAAU
rnacentral:ncRNA from 1 species